UUUAAUUUUGUAUGUUAGUUUCAAGACUUGUGAUUUUAACUGAUUUUAUAUGACCUCAUCCACUGGAUUUUGUACAUUCUUUUACCUACUUAUUUUAUUCAUCCUAUUUUAAUUUCAUUGUCUAUAUCACUUUUUAUCUCAUCACCUUGUGUUUGGCGCAGUAUAAUCAUCUCUGGUUUUGCGCCAAAAAUUUCACCCACCACCACCACCACCACCCACCACCACCACCACCUGUCCCUAUCUACUAUCUAGCGAAACCACAGCCAAGGGAACGGGCUUGGCAGAAUCAGCGGGGAAAGAAGACCCUGUUGAGCUUGACUCUAGUCUGACUCUGUGAAGAGACAUGAGAGGUGUAGUAUAAGUGGGAGAUCGCUCUGCGGUCGUCAGUGAAAUACCACUACUUUCAUCGA
rnacentral:ncRNA from 1 species